rnacentral:rRNA from 1 species
GACGAAGGGGGCUAGCGUUGUUCGGAAUUACUGGGCGUAAAGCGCGCGUAGGCGGCCAGAUAAGUCCGGUGUGAAAGUCAAAGGCUCAACCUUUGAAUGCCGCUGGAAACUGUCUGGCUAGAGUCCGGAAGGGGCGAGUGGAACUCCUGGUGUAGCGGUGAAAUGCGCAGAUAUCAGGAAGAACACCUAUGGCGAAGGCAGCUCGCUAGGACGGUACUGACGCUGAGGCGCGAAAGCGUGGGGAGCGAACAGG